UAUCAGUGCGGGCGUGCGGACGGACGGACAGACGUACUAAUUGUCCACUGGGGAAAGUUGUCUUCAUUUUAAAACAUUUCUUCAUAAGCUAUGGAAUUAUGGUAUUCAUGCAUAUGCCUUUAGUUUGUUUUAUUUUUGAUGAAACAAUGUAUGGCGUAUGUCUCAACCAUUCAGAAAGCAACAAGAAAUUACAUUUGCGCAGAUCAAUUUCCCAUUUCCACGUGGAUUAUUACAGACAUCUGUAGCUUGUCAGAUGUAAUUAAAUGGAGGGAAAUAAAUGCCCCAUCACAAUGCGUAAUGACGCACAAUGGCUGAUCUUACGCUCUUAGAAGAUGGGGCAAAUGGAAGAAUUCGGAGUGAACGCAUCUUUAGACAGCAAGAAGACGUGCUGGCAAACGAGGACAAGUGGCUUAUGAGCCGGUUCCGACUUCCUCGAGCCGUCCUUUUGGACCUCUGCGGGCUUUUGGGCCCGGCGUUACAGAGGAGCACUCGGAGGAACCACGCGUGUCACCCGGUGCAUCUGGCGCUCCGGUCCCCCCGGCGCAUGCAUCUGGCGCUCCGGUGUCCCCCCCCCCGAUGGAGCGCUGUAGCCUCACAACCUCGAAUGGUUGUGAGGCUACAGCAUUUACGGCGUCUGCCGCUCACGUGCCUUUUUGGCAUUAGUAAUGCCCACACUGUGCCCUCCAGACAACACUUUUCUCCUCUUUUCCACCUCGACAACGAUAACUUCUACUUCACAUUGAGUGAAGUUACGUUUUUUUCAUUUCCUCUCUGUGUUUGCCAUGGUUCCGCAAUCAAUGAAUAUUCAUUUGUGGGCGUUUCACUGUCUAUUUAUGGACAAAUAUGGGCGUGUCAUGAAGCCGCAAAAAGCUGCACUGCAUUUAGAAUCGGUUGUGAUUUAUUAAGGGAAAGAUGCGCAGGAUGUGCGUGCGCACGGUUUUAUAAAUCCGAAUAUUUCUUUGCGUACGCACGUCCUAUGUUUCAUCCGUACGCCACUUCUGACGCAAAUCCUACGCAAAGUUUUAUAAAUGAGGCCCCAGAGCUCUAGCUCCAGUGUUUGCAUUCUUUUGACUAGUGUAAGACUUCAAAUGUUUGCGUUCUGCAGCUUUCCAC
rnacentral:lncRNA from 1 species